rnacentral:lncRNA from 1 species
CCUACUUGAAAGUAGUAUCUGUAUAACUUACAUAGAGAAACAAAAAUAAAACAAAAAGACAAGAUUCUGCAAUCACAAGUACUUUAAUUUAAAAAAAAAAAAAACAAAUCACUUAUUUUAAAAAUAAACAAAUGUCACCAAUCUACUCUAAGUUGAUACAAGUCAAAAUAAAGAGCACUGCUCUCACAGAUAAUAAGCUGCUGAAGUCAGUCCACUACCCCACACAGCUCAGCUACACUUAGCACUCAGCUGUGAAGUGAGAUUCAAGACCCUCCGCCCCAAAGUAACAUUCAACUGUCAAAACUAUUUUACUUUAAAAGGUUAAAUAACCCAAGCAGUUUGAAGAGUUUUAUUUUGAAAAACAUUACAGAGAAUAGAAAUUCUUACAGUGCCAACAGAAGUAUUACAGUACAAUUUUCCACAACAAAACUGGAGCACACAGUCCAUGGGAAUCCUCGACUUCCUUCAACUGUCAACACACUGCACCCUGUAUAAGUGGCUGUACCUGGAAACCAACGUAUGCAAGUCCUUAGAAUUAGAAGUUAUCAAGUUAUAAUGUUAACAUCUGGGGGAAAUGUGUGGAAGAGUCUACUAUGUUACGUCUGUGACCGGACCCAACUUCCACAGCAAGGUAAAGGCCACAGCAAUAGUAAAUGACCUAUUAGCUGUAUGAACAAUAAUGUAACUACUGCAGCCCACUUAGUUUGGGUAUCUUAAUGUUAGGAUGUCUGUGAAGAAUUCAUUCAACGUUAGCUACGUAAGCUAUUAAUACAAAAGGACCUUAGAGCUUUAACAUUCAUUGAGAAGUUUAUUCUCUAUCUCUUCUCCUGAAAACAGGCGAACCUAAAUAAUUUACAAAGAACUAAAAAGUUGCAGACUUUAGAACAGAGUUACUUACUGUAAACAAAUCUGCAACAUUGUCUCAAAGAUCAAAAAAGUAGGAGACAGGUUUUUUUCUUCCCACCAGCACUGCGGGUGGAAGCAAGAAUAUACCCGGAGUUUCAAAAUCUUCUAUAAAUGUAAUGGCGUCUGGGCAGACCCCGAGCACCCUCGCCAUUUCCUUUCAGGAAGGGGAGAGAAAUCAGCCUGAGCCCCGUAGUCAGCAUGACAGGCCCCUCGGAGGCUCCACGUGGGGACCGCACCGAGCCCACGGGCAAACACGCUCCCAGCCUGAGCCCGCAGCCGCUGCCAGGCCCCGACGGCCCCGGAGCGCCACCUAGCGGCCCUCAGAGGGACCUGCAGGCGCGGCCCACUCCCGGCUCGCGGCACCCCCACCGCCGCCCAGCCCGCUUCCCUCUCCGGAUGUGCACAAGGCCCAACCCAAGAACUGAGACCACAAAAUGGCUGCCGGCGGCUUCGUCACGUGACCCCUUUGUGCCUUUCGGGCCCCCGAACUCCGCGGGACCCAGGUCGGGCAGAUCCUCACAGCGGAAGACCGGCAGCGGCUUCGAGGCGUCCAGCGCCCGCGCCCGAAACGACAGUUUACUCAUCUCAGGCGCAGCAGAUACCUCUCCGCUCUGGGGAAACGGCCCCGGCCAGCGGGAUCAUGGAGAACCGGAGUUUCGGUCUCCACUCGCCUGCCGCUGCCGGGGACUUGGGGGCGGAGCGCAAAGCCCGCCGUCCGGGCCCUGACACCAGCCGGGAGGGUGGGAGGCUGUGCCGCUCCGCGCCUCGCUCACUCGCUCUCUUCAAUACGCCAUGGCCAACAUGGCGGACAUUAAAACUCCACUGUGCGCUCUUCAGCCAACCCCAGCCAUUCCCCACACUGCAUCGCGCAGCGACGCGGGCACGCGCGGGGGGAGCGCGGGCUCGAGCGGGCGCCGGCGCGGCGCGGCAUGGAGCGCGCGUCCCGCC